UGAGGUCUCAAAUGGGUUAGCUGGUCAAGGCUAUUAGUGCAAAUGUACCAAGAGCAUCUAUCACUGGAAAACCAAAAGAGAGGAUUGUCGUAGGAGGACUCUGCCCCUACCUACAGAGAGGAGCCGCAGCGAGAGGAGAGGAGCUACAGCCAGAGGUCUGUAACCGGAGGAAAACAAGGGUCUUUGUUGCUGCUGCUGCCGCUGCUGCUGCUGGAUUUUUUUGAGAUCUACACCCUUGACCCUUGACCAAAAAGAGGGGACUUUGACAGCAGCUGCAGCUAGACAGGCAGAAACACAAGGGCAGCAUGCCUUUCAUCUCCCCCAGUGUGGUGCCAAGAUGCCUUUCUUAGGGACCUUGUUUCCAGCACACCCCCAAGCUCCUUCCCCACAUUCCUUCAAUUCCUGCUGUCCCCUUGCCCCACCAGUGACUCCACCGCAUCUUAUCCCGUUGCUCUACUCAUUCAUUUUUUUCUUCCUUCCUUCAUCGUCACUCAAAACAACAACAAAAAUCCUGCAUAUGCAUAAAUGCUGGUGGCCCCAGACUUUCUCUUCUAGAAAGCCGGCCCCUUUGUAGGCCUCUUUUAGGCGUGUUUAUCGCCAUUCUGUGGACCUGAGAACCCCUGAGCACGAUGAUCAUCAGGAUAACAACAGAGGCUGGGGCCAGAAUCAAAGGUGGAUAGGUCUUUGAAACUGCUUGAAACCUUAUAUUCAACUCACUUUAGAAAUGCUCAAGUCAAAGAAAGGAAGACAGGUUAUAUUUCUCUAAGGAAAACAUGAUGAAGAAAAAUAGAAGUGAUGGACUCCAUUUGCAGAAUAAGGCAUACUUUUGUGUGCAUGGCUAAUGUGGGAAUUUGUUCUGCUUGACUGUGCAGAUUUGAACUUAUAAAUUCUUUGCUUUUUUUUCUGGUGGGGGGACAUGGGAGUGAGAAAAAGUAAA